rnacentral:rRNA from 1 species
ACGUCGUGAGACAGUUUGGUCCCUAUCUUCCGUGGGCGCUGCAGAUUUGAGGAAGCCUGCUCCUAGUACGAGAGGACCGGAGUGGACACACCUCUGGUGUAUCGGUUGUCACGCCAGUGGCAUUGCCGAGUAGCUAAGUGUGGAAGAGAUAACCGCUGAAAGCAUCUAAGCGGGAAACUCGUUUCAAGAUGAGAUCUGCCGGGGCCUUGAGCCCCCUAAAGAGUCGUUCAAGACCAGGACGUUGAUAGGUCAGGUGUGGAAGCGCAGCAAUGCGUUAAGCUAACUGAUACUAAUUGCUCGUGCGGCUUGACCCU